rnacentral:rRNA from 1 species
UACCAGCACCCCGAGUGGUCGGGACGUUUAUUGGGCCUAAAGCAUCCGUAGCCGGUUCUACAAGUCUUCCGUUAAAUCCACCUGCUUAACAGAUGGGCUGCGGAAGAUACUAUAGAGCUAGGAGGCGGGAGAGGCAAGCGGUACUCGAUGGGUAGGGGUAAAAUCCGUUGAUCCAUUGAAGACCACCAGUGGCGAAGGCGGCUUGCCAGAACGCGCUCGACGGUGAGGAAUGAAAGCUGGGGGAGCAAACCGG